CCCGCCCCCCGGCCCGACCAAUGACCUCAUGGCAGGCGCAGCGCUCCCCCGCACGGCGCCCAUUGGCCGAGCGAGCCGCCUGUAAUGGCGGCGGCACCGCCCCCCGAGCGCAAGAAGAACCCCCCGGGGACGCACUGAGCACAAGAUGGCGGUGCUGGCCUCCCGCCAGGGCCCAGGCGGGGCUCCUGCUGCCGCCAUUAGGCCCCUUCCCCUCCCCUCCGGUACAGCCUUGUGGCAGGCUAUGGGAGGCCUGAGCAUGGCAGUGAGGAAGCAGCCGACUCCAUCUUCUCUCUCUGUGUGUUCGUGUCCCGCGAUCAUCGCCGCGACCAUCGCCCCUGCACCCCCCCGGACAGCAGACUGCGCUCACCGCGACCGGACCGGCUCCGACAUCAGCCGGCCCACACUGCAGCACAGCGGCUCCGCCACGGGACUGCCCGCCGAUCGACCCAGCACGCCGCAACGGUCCUUUCCUCUCCUCUCUCUCUCUCCAGGAGCUGUAGGCUAGCCCAGAGCACGGCUGGUGCUCGCUUACCAGCCAAAUAUCGAAGCCGUGCAAUCCCCCUCCCCUAAACCCACCGUCACCCCUCCCCUCCCCUCGCUGGGGUGUCCCGAGCAGGGCCCGCUGCCGCCUCCCCGCGCCCCCUCCCUCGUCCUGGCCCUCACGAAACAAACCCACCCGGGCCGCCUCAAUUUUAAAAAAUGGUUUUUACCUCAGGAAUGGGCGCCAAAGGUGCAGUGGCGGUGACCCGGGCGGGCCGGUGCUGUGGCGGUGCCCAGCAGCGGCCCUCCCUCCCCCCGCGGGGGCGGCGAGGGGCUGUGGGGCCCGCGGAGGGGAGGGAGCCGGGGCUGUGUUGGGCCGGGGGUGUUUUGUUGUGUGUGCCGUGCCGUGCCCUGUGACAGGUCAGAGUUCGUGACCCCGCCGUCGCCGCCCGGGAGCGCGUCCCCGCUUCCUCUUCCAGCGCCCGCCCUGCCGCGGCCCCUCCAUCCCCCGCGGGGCGGGGCUGGCGGCGGGGAGGGGCUACCGGGCUACCUGGGCCGCCCGAGCCCCGCACCGCUCGGUCCGGGCCUGGCUGCCGGGGCAGUGCAGGGAGAAGCUCGGCCCCUGGGGCAGCGACGGGAAGGAACGGCCCCCGCCUUUGUCCGUCCCGCUCGGAAAGCUUCUCGGGAGCCGGUAGCCCGAGGUAAUGGGUUGGCGGUGGCUGUUCCGUGCGCCGGUGGUGCUGGUAUUCCACGUGUACCUUGGUUUUCGCUGAAGGUGCAGUCAAAGGCAGGCUCGCAGUCGAGAGGGGCUCUCACAAACGCCACCGCCAGAUUGUACCGAGUUCUUAUUUCAUUUUCUGAAGUCAGUGUCAUUGAUUAGGGCUCUCACGGUGAAGCUGGCCGUGAGUCUUGUUCUGCCUAUGAAUGCUCAGUGGUAGGCGCAAGCCAGGCUUGAGUGAGGGACUGUUUGUUUGUUUUUCUUAGAAGUGGCUACUUGGGGCAAGGAUAUGAGAAAUAAAGAAGUACACCUAUGAAUUACAGCCUGUCACAGAAUGGGACUUAGCAAAGCACAUGAUGUACAGAUGUCUUUGCAAUACAUAAAUAAAGGAAAAUGUCUCAA